rnacentral:rRNA from 1 species
AUUGAACGCUGGCGGCAGGCCUAACACAUGCAAGUCGAACGAGUGGCGGACGGGUGAGUCAUGUCUGGGAAACUGCCUGAUGGAGGGGGAUAACUACUGGAAACGGUAGCUAAUACCGCAUACCAUCAGAUGUGCCCAGAUGGGAUUAGCUUGUGGGUGGGGUAAAGGCUCACCAAGGCGAAGAUCCCUAGCUGGGCUGAGAGGAUGACCAGCCACACUGGAACGGAGACACGGUCCAGACUCCGACGGGAGGCAGCAGUGGGGAAUAUUGCACAAGGGGCGCAAGCCUGAUGCAGCCAUGCCGCGUGUAUGAAGAAGGCUUUCGGGUUGUAAAGUACUUUCAUCGGGGAGGCGUUACCCGAAGAAGAAGCACCGGCUAACUCCGUGCCAGCAGCCGCGGUAAUUC